rnacentral:rRNA from 1 species
AUUGAACGCUGGCGGCAUGCCUUACACAUGCAAGUCGAACGGUAACGGGCCUUCGGGUGCCGACGAGUGGCGAACGGGUGAGUAAUACAUCGGAACGUGCCCGAUCGUGGGGGAUAACGAGGCGAAAGCUUUGCUAAUACCGCAUACGAUCUACGGAUGAAAGCAGGGGACCGCAAGGCCUUGCGCGGACGGAGCGGCCGAUGGCAGAUUAGGUAGUUGGUGGGAUAAAAGCUUACCAAGCCGACGAUCUGUAGCUGGUCUGAGAGGAUGAUCAGCCACACUUGGGCUGGAGCACGGCCCAGGAUCCUACGGGAGGGCACAGGUGGGAAUUUUUGGCAAUUGGGGGAAAGCUGGAUCAAGCAUGCCGCGUGCAGGAUGAAGGCCUUCGGGUUGUAAACUGCUUUUGUACGGAACGAAAAGCCUUCUUUUAAUACAGGAGGGUCAUGACGGUACCGUAAGAAUAAGCACCGGCUAACUACGUG